AGUGAACGCUGGCGGUAGGCCUAACACAUGCAAGUCGAACGGCAGCACAGGAGAGCUUGCUCUCUGGGUGGCGAGUGGCGGACGGGCGAGGAAUACAUCGGAAUCUACUCUGUCGUGGGGGAUAACGUAGGGAAACUUACGCUAAUACCGCAUACGACCUACGGGUGAAAGCAGGGGACCUUUGGGCCUUGCGCGAUUGAAUGAGCCGAUGUCGGAUUAGCUAGUUGGCGGGGUAAAGGCCCACCAAGGCGACGAUCCGUAGCUGGUCUGAGAGGAUAAUCAGCCACACUGGAACUGAGACACGGUCCAGCCUCCUACGGGAGGCAGCAGUGGGGAAUAUUGGACAAUGGGCGCAAGCCUGAUCCAGCCAUACCGCGUGGGUGAAGAAGGCCUUCGGGUUGUAAAGCCCUUUUGUUGGGAAAGAAAUCCAGCUGGCUAAUACCCGGUUGGGAUGACGGUACCCAAAGAAUAAGCACCGGCUAACUUCGUGCCAGCAGCCGCCGUAA
rnacentral:rRNA from 1 species